UACGGGAGGCAGCAGUGGGGAAUAUUGCACAACGGGCGCAAGCCUGAUGCAGCCAUGCCGCGUGUAUGAAGAAGGCCUUCGGGUUGUAAAGUACUUUCAGUCGUGAGGAAGGUGUUAAGGUUAAUAACCUUAGCAAUUGACGUUAGCGACAGAAGAAGCACCGGCUAACUCCGUGCCAGCAGCCGCGGUAAUACGGAGGGUGCGAGCGUUAAUCGGAAUUACUGGGCGUAAAGGGCACGCAGGCGGUUAAUUAAGUUGGAUGUGAAAUCCCCGGGCUUAACCUGGGAAUGGCAUUCAAGACUGGUUAGCUAGAGUCUUGUAGAGGGGGGUAGAAUUCCAUGUGUAGCGGUGAAAUGCGUAGAGAUGUGGAGGAAUACCGGUGGCGAAGGCGGCCCCUGGACAAAGACUGACGCUCAUGUGCGAAAGCGUGGGGAGCAAACGAGGGAUUAGAUAC
rnacentral:rRNA from 1 species